GCGGUGCGGCUCGGCUCCGUUCGGCUUGGUUCGGCUCGGUUCGGCUCGGCCCGGCCCAAGUGCGCGCUGCCUGGCGCAGGUGCUUAAACAGCGUCAGCGGCUGCGGCGCGGCAGUCCUUCGCACCGCGGCCAGAAUGGAACCAAAAUUUUGUGUAUUUGCUCUGCUCUUUACUGGCCGUGGAAGGAGAAGAGUGAAUUAAAUGCUUUGCAAAGAUAUAUUCUAGUUUUCUGUCACUUAGUGCUAACAGAAAAACAAAAUAACCCAUCUCGUCUGCUUGAGGAGAUUCUGUUGUAAUGU